rnacentral:tRNA from 1 species
GGCCUGAUAGCUCAACCGAUGGAGCACUGCACAAGCAUUGCAGAGGUCCGGGCUCGAGUCCAGUUCAGGCCU